ACGCUGGCGGCAGGCUUAACACAUGCAAGUCGAACGGUAACAGGGAUUAGCUUGCUAAUCUGCUGACGAGUGGCGGACGGGUGAGUAAUGCUUGGGAAUCUGGCUUAUGGAGGGGGAUAACUACGGGAAACUGUAGCUAAUACCGCGUAAAAUCUUCGGAUUAAAGGGUGGGACUUUCGAGCCACCUGCCAUAAGAUGAGCCCAAGUGGGAUUAGGUAGUUGGUUAGGUAAAGGCUGACCAAGCCGACGAUCUCUAGCUGGUCUGAGAGGAUGACCAGCCACACUGAAACUGAGACACGGUCCAGACUCCUACGGGAGGCAGCAGUGGGGAAUAUUGCACAAUGGGGGGGACCCUGAUGCAGCCAUGCCGCGUGAAUGAAGAAGGCCUUCGGGUUGUAAAGUUCUUUCGGUGACGAGGAAGGUUGGUAGGUUAAUAGCCUAUCAAAUUGACGUUAAUCACAGAAGAAGCACCGGCUAACUCCGUGCCAGCAGCCGCGGUAAUACGGGGGGUGCGAGCGUUAAUCGGAAUAACUGGGCGUAAAGGGCACGCAGGCGGUGACUUAAGUGAGAUGUGAAAGCCCCGAGCUUAACUUGGGAAUUGCAUUUCAUACUGGGUCGCUAGAGUACUUUAGGGAGGGGUAGAAUUCCACGUGUAGCGGUGAAAUGCGUAGAGAUGUGGAGGAAUACCGAAGGCGAAGGCAGCCCCUUGGGAAUGUACUGACGCUCAUGUGCGAAAGCGUGGGGAGCAAACAGGAUUAGAUACCCUGGUAGUCCACGCUGUAAACGAUGUCGAUUUGGGGAUUGGGCUUUGAGCUUGGUGCCCGUAGCUAACGUGAUAAAUCGACCGCCUGGGGAGUACGGCCGCAAGGUUAAAACUCAAAUGAAUUGACGGGGGCCCGCACAAGCGG
rnacentral:rRNA from 1 species